rnacentral:rRNA from 1 species
AGCGAACGCUGGCGGCAGGCCUAACACAUGCAAGUCGAACGGACCCUUCGGGGUCAGUGGCGGGCGGGUGAGUAACACGUGGGAACGUGCCUUUAGGUUCGGAAUAGCUCCUGGAAACGGGUGGUAAUGCCGAAUGUGCCCUUCGGGGGAAAGAUUUAUCGCCUUUAGAGCGGCCCGCGUCUGAUUAGCUAGUUGGUGAGGUAAUGGCUCACCAAGGCGACGAUCAGUAGCUGGUCUGAGAGGAUGACCAGCCACAUUGGGACUGAGACACGGCCCGAACUCCUACGGGAGGCAGCAGUGGGGAAUCUUGCGCAAUGGGCGAAAGCCUGACGCAGCCAUGCCGCGUGGAUGAUGAAGGUCUUAGGAUUGUAAAAUCCUUUCACCGGUGAAGAUAAUGACUGUAGCCGGAGAAGAAGCCCCGGCUAACUUCGUGCCAGCCGCCGCGGUAAUAC